rnacentral:rRNA from 1 species
CCCUUAGAUGUCCGGGGCUGCACGCGCGCUACACUGAAGGAAUCAGCGUGCUAAAACCAUUGUCGAAAGGCAUUGGUAAACCCAUUAAAAUCCUACGUGAUUGGGAUCGGGAAUUGCAAUUAUUUCCCUUGAACGAGGAAUUCCCAGUAAGUGUGGGUCAUAAGCUCGCGUUGAUUACGUCCCUGCCCUUUGUACACACCGCCCGUCGCUGCCCGGGACUGAGCCGUUUCGAGAAAAGCGGGGACUGCUGCUGUCGGGGCCUUCGGGCCUUGGCUUCGGUGGAAACCGCUUUAAUCGCAGUGGCUUGAACCGGGCAAAANUCGUANCA